CCUGAAGCCCACCACCUGGGAUUUUCUUUUUCAUCAGAUUCCUUUUUGUUGAAGCCACUUUGAGUUCUGUUUCUGCUGCCAGGAAAUGACCCACAGGAGUUCCUCUCUGGGCUUCCGCUUGCCCAUAUGUAAAAGAAAAAGUUCAGAGCACUGGUUGGGUCCCUACCUCAUGGGUUGAGCAGUCCUGCUUAGCAGAGCUCUGGGCCAGUGAUACUGAGCUCCUGCUGUGUACUCAGUAUUUGGGGCUCCUCUGAGCGGCAGUCCCUCAGCUGCUCCCCACAGCUCCAGGAGUUCAGACUGUGGUAGUCUCCGUUUCACAGCUUCGUUCAUUCAUUGAUUCGGAAGGUCAGCGUUGAGCACCUACUGUAUACCAAGCCCAGUCCCACACAGAUAAACCUGGGAGAGUGACAAGUGAAAGCGUGAAGAACAGUGGGUGAGGGAGGGCUUCCUGGAAGAGGUGGUGCUCGGGCCAAGACUGUGAAGAGAGGCAGGGGGCGCUGUCAUGGAGCCGGAGAGCCGGGCCUGGCGUGAGCUGUUCACAGAUGCUUCCUGCUGCGGCUCAGCCUGCGCGGGUGCCGCAGCCCGGGUGG
rnacentral:lncRNA from 1 species